UUCACUCCGCCUCUCCCUCCUUUGUGAUUGAAAUUGAGAGUCCCUUCACCUUUAAAAAGAAAAUAGAUGAGCGGUCUGCACCCGCAAGGCGGUGCUCUUGUUUGAAAAUGUGUGUAUUACUAACAAAGUGUUUAAAUUAGCUUGAGUGGUGAAGUGGUAUUGUCUAAGACUAUACGUUCAAAGGACACUGGUUUGAUAAUGAUAAAAAUUUAUUCAAAAUAUAUGAAAUUUAUUAAAAUUUACAUGAAAUGACUUUUUGAAUUACUAAAAUCUGUGAACAAGUCCAUUUAAACGCUGACAUCCUAUUUUUAGAAAAUAAUGUACAUCCAUAUUAUCAGAAAAAUGUAAUACGCAAUAAAGUGUCACCCUAUUUUCAGAAAAUGGCCUAUGCACAUAUUAUCUGCAAAAUGGUAACGUGAUACACAAUCUUUUAGUAUCUUGACAAUGGACUUUGUACUUUGGUGUGUAUUAAAACAGCCAACAUAAUUCAUUCUCUGUCAGAUUGAAACUUAGUUCAUUGGUUAUUUAUAAUAUUAGCUUAAAACUGUGUGUGUCUUUAUGAAACACAUUCUGGUUUUGAUAACCUUUAUUGUAUUCUAUUAAAGGAGUGAAAAUAAUACAAAACUUUUUUAAUUACAGGACAGUUCAUAAUACCUAUUGCAAAUUGCAACGUCUCUAAGUACAGUUCAUACAAGUUCAGAUUUAGUGAGGGACUAUUCUUGUUGUGCUUGCGAAAGUAAAAAUAUCAAAGAAAGUGCUGAAUUUUUCUGUGAAACAUGUUUGAAGUGUUUUUGUAAAAAAUGUCUUUAUUAUCAUGAUAAAUUAUAUGUAAAUCAUUUGAAAUAUGGAAGAGGAGAAACAAAUAAAUGGCCCCUAGCAAAGACAAUGGAGGAUUUGCUACUGAAAUGUGAUGUUCACAACAACAAGAAACUGAAAAUGUUCUGCCAAGACCACAGUCAGCUGUGCUGCUCGGAUUGUGUUUUACUGAAUCACAGAAAAUGUACAAAUCUGGCUCUCAUUUCUGAUUCCGUCAAAAAGCUGUCGGUGAAUAGGCAUCAGUUGUCAAACAAAAUUAAAACAGUUCUUACUAAACUAAAUAAGUUAUAGAUAACUCAAGAGGCCGGCAUUCAGUCUGUUGAUGGAUCAUACACUAAAAAACAGCAAGAAAUCAGAGAGAUGCGUAAGAAAUUAAAUGCUGCUUUGGAUAAACUUGAAAAUACAACCUUGAAAGAUCUGGAUGAAAUUAGGACCGCUUUGAAAACAUCUCUAAAGAAAGAUGUUGACAACUGCAGCAGACUGAAGGAUGAACUUCAACUGCUAGGUGAAGCUGUACAGGACCUUCAUGAAAACAGCAAGAGAGAAAUCGAGUUCAUAUCGGGCAGGAAAUGUCUUGACAAAAUACAGGAGUCACAGUCAUAUCUAAAGGAAACCCCAGUGAAGGUUCAGUGUUCCAUAAUAUUCAAGGAAAACAUUGACAUUAUGAAGAACCUGUCUAAACAUUUCAAUCUGGGGAAGAUUGUAGAAAGUAUGCAGUCUCUCAGACUGGAGAUGAUUCCAGCCCAGGUUGUGAGUUUGAAGAGGAAGUCUGACGAUUAUGUGAAAGCAUGUAAGUGUGCACCGACACAACUUCUUACAAAUGACCAUUUCCUCGGAAUGUGCUGCCCGGCAAGUGGGAAAUUUCCAUUUGAAAUUGAUCCAUAUGAUUCCAUUUAAAACAAGCAUCAUACAAACUGUCUUCUGAUCUCGAAUGGAUACUGUGUAAAAAAUGUGCUCUUAUACAGUUUCUGAGAUAUAGCCCUGAAACUAUGUGACAGACAGACGCCGAGACGGACCGACUAACAGACUGACAGACAGACACAUAGACUGAUGGACAACGGCAAUAGUAUAUCCCUUUACCUUUUAUCGUUGUUGGAUUGCAAUUGGUUUUGAAAGUGUAUAUGAGCAUAGAAAAUACAACGAAGAAAUGUAAACCUUACUUUAUACUUUAAAAAUAUGACAUUCUGGCAUUUGGAAUAAUAAACUGGUGGUAUUGAUUUAACAUGGUGUUAGAGCCCCCGUUUUGGCAUGUCUCACACUAAGUUUGGUCAGAGUUCUGCAACCAAUGGCUUUCCCUUCAAUUUCAAAAGUUCAUUUCAGAAAAAAGGGACUUGUAAUGGUAUGCAGUGCACACACUGUUCGCCAUUUGUGAAUAUAUUGAAAAUGUGUUUAAAACAAAUUUUGAUUUGAAAAAGUCUCUAAAAAGGUGCAUUAAGGUGAUGAAUUGUCACUGUUGGUUGCAAUAUCUUGAAAAAAGACUGCAUGAGGAAACAUUCUAACUCUAAAGGUAAGAGUUUUGAAAUGAAGCAAGGCAAAUCUUGUUGUUCUAUGUAGGUAGAAUGAGUGGUUGGUAAUACACUAUACGUGGUCAAGGGAGCUUACAUUGUAUAUGCCAUUGAUCUUUGUUGUUAAAAAUAAGAUCCAUGAUAUUUCUCUCAUUAUUUCGGCUAUUAUCAGGAAAUGUGUGCUUCUGUGAAGCAAAUUAAUGAUGUUUUGAACUUUGACAUAUACAAUUGUCAUGAUUGACUAUUAAGGUAACAACUGCAUGUUACAUUAUGAUACUUGACAAUAUGAGCUUUUUAUCAUUUAUUUAAUAAAUGAAAUUUGUAUGCCCCCGAAGAAGGGCAUAUAGUGAUCAGACCGUCUGUUCGUCUCUCUGUCUUUCUUUCCGUCACACUUUGCAUUAAGGUUUCGCAUUUAGGUUUCGAAAAAUGCUCAUAUCUUCUAUGUCCCUUCACAUAGCAACUUGAUAUUUGGCAUGCAUCUGUAUUUCAUGGAGCUGCACAUUUUGAGUGUUAAAAGGUCAAGGUCAUUCUUCAAGGUCAAAGGUAAAAAAACCUGUAUCAAAGCGGCGCAGUAGGGGGUAUUGUGUUUCUGACAAACACAUCUCUUGUUUUAAAAUGCGAUAUUUAAUAUUUUUAUUUGAUUGCAAGUUUCCGCAAGCCAAAACAGAAAUUAUUGUCAAGUGUGAUCCAUGUGUUGGUUGUUGCAAUAAUUCAACUCUCAGCAUAACCCAAAGGGUUGCUGAGAGUUGCAAUACGCCGUCUUUUGUCUAAAGGUACACAAUGUGAUCACCACUGCAAAAGCUAAGGGACACUGAUACUGCAAGAAUUAAUCAAUUUACUUGUCUAAAGCACAAACUCAUGCAAAUGGUGCCAUUUAAGCAAGAAAUAAUUGCUUUUUAUUUACUUUGUUAUUCUUUUGUACGCUCUAUCUACCAUAUUAGAAAACUGUGAUGUUGCCUAAAAGUGUCGCUAUCGGUUAGGUUGCAGAACACCAAUCUUUUGCACAUAGUGAUAUUUGAUGUAACAUAAGUUGAUAACGAUGUCGAAUAUUUACACUGUUCCAAAUUUCAAAAUUGUUGGCAAGAAUAGUGUUGAAAUAUCGUCGUGUUUGUUAAGGUUACAUGCAAAGGAUAACCUCCGUAGGCUGCCAUUCAGGUAAAUUUAAUUUGUUCGUUGUAAUUUUUAGUAUAUGAACUCAAUUUAGACUGCUUUGUCUGAUGCCAUCGGGACAUGGUGGACAUUUGUUAUCAGAACAGUUACCAGGUGGUCAUCAUUUCAUAAUAUAGAUUAUCAAGGAUGGUCUGUUCUGUUGCUCGCACAGUCUGCUUGUCAGAUAUUUCAACAGUUACAAUAAUAAAUAUCAAAUGUUAGGUCCUAUCAGUGUCUUUCCACACAUCCAAAUAUGGAAGGGUGGGCAGAUUUGUAAAAAAAAGCCAGGUUCAGUGAGAAGCUGGGGAGAGUUGGUGGCAGUUCGAGAGAGAACGGAUUUUACCUAAAAUGUGAAGACAGUUAACAAAUAAACAUUAUUGUUGUAUAUAUUUAUUCUCGUAGUGUGUAAAUAAAAUGAAGAGUUAUA